GGCUCAGAUUGAACGCUGGCGGCAUGCUUUACACAUGCAAGUCGAACGGCAGCACGGGCUUCGGCCUGGUGGCGAGUGGCGAACGGGUGAGUAAUGCAUCGGAACGUACCGUGUAAUGGGGGAUAACGUAGCGAAAGUUACGCUAAUACCGCAUACGCCCUGAGGGGGAAAGCGGGGGAUCGUAAGACCUCGCGUUAUACGAGCGGCCGAUGUCGGAUUAGCUAGUUGGUGGGGUAAAGGCCUACCAAGGCGACGAUCCGUAGCGGGUCUGAGAGGAUGAUCCGCCACACUGGGACUGAGACACGGCCCAGACUCCUACGGGAGGCAGCAGUGGGGAAUUUUGGACAAUGGGCGCAAGCCUGAUCCAGCCAUGCCGCGUGAGUGAAGAAGGCCUUCGGGUUGUAAAGCUCUUUCAGACGGAAAGAAAUCGCGCGCUCUAACAUAGCGUGUGGAUGACGGUACCGUAAGAAGAAGCACCGGCUAACUACGUG
rnacentral:rRNA from 1 species